GACGAACGCUGGCGGCGUGCUUAACACAUGCAAGUCGAACGGAAAGGCCCUGCUUGCAGGGUACUCGAGUGGCGAACGGGUGAGUAACACGUGGGUGAUCUGCCCUGCACUUCGGGAUAAGCCUGGGAAACUGGGUCUAAUACCGGAUAGGAGCCAUUUUUAGUGUGAUGGUUGGAAAGUUUUUUCGGUGUAGGAUGAGCUCGCGGCCUAUCAGCUUGUUGGUGGGGUAAUGGCCUACCAAGGCGGCGACGGGUAGCCGGCCUGAGAGGGUGGACGGCCACAUUGGGACUGAGAGACGGCACAGACUCCUACGGGAGGCAGCAGUGGGGAAUAUUGAACAAUGGGCGCAAGCCUGAUGCAGCGACGCCGCGUGGGGGAUGACGGCCUUAGGGUUGUAAACUCCUUUCGCUAGGGACGAAGCUUUUUGUGACGGUACCUAGAUAAGAAGCACCGGCUAACUACGUG
rnacentral:rRNA from 1 species